GCGGCCGCCCCGCGACCCGUGCGCGUGCGCGACGUCUGAGGAAGCCGGCACGGAAGGUUCGCUUUUGCCUGGGGGCUGCCCUUACCUUAGCUUUUGGAGGCGUGGAGAGGCCGCGCAGUUCUGCGUCGCUUGCGGAGUGAAUUCGAGCAUGGUACCAGAUAUGACCUCCCUGAACUGGUUGCUUGCAAGAGACUUUCUUCAGAGAUUUCAGGUUACCCUCAAGAUACAGAAGCCAAAUUAUGGAGUCCACAAAAAGUAGUGAGAAAUCCAGAACAGCCUCCUGGAAUCUUCACUCUGGGCCAUUCUUGAUGCUCAGCACCACCCCAGAUCUCCAGCUUCCUAGUAGUUCAUCUUGUUUGAGACUCUCUGUGCUUCCUGAACUUGGAUGUCUGUGUCCUUUAUCAGGUUAGUGAAGUUUUCAGCUAUUAUUUCUUCAAAUAAGUUCUCUGCCCCUUUCUCUCUUAUUCUUCCAGGACCCCUAUAAUGUAAUGUUAGUAUGCUUGAUGUUGACCCAGAGGUCUCUUAAACUAUCCUCAUUUUUUAUUUAUUUUUAUUUUUAUUUAUUUUUUUUACGGUACACGGGCCUCUCACGGACCAGGGCACGAACCCGUGUCCCCUGCAUCGGCAGGCAGACUCUCAACCACUGCGCCACCAGGGAAGCCCAUCCUCAUUUUUUAAAAAUACUUUUUUCUUUUCAGCUUGGGUAAUUUCCACUACUCUUUCUUCCUGUUCGCUGAUCCAUUUCUUUGUAUCAUCUAAUCUACUGUUGAUUCCUUCAGUGUAUUUUUAAUUUCAGUUAUUGUAUUCUUCAGCCCUGUUUGUUUCUUCUUUAAUUAUGUGACUCUGUUAAACUUAUUCCUGUGUUCAUCCAUUCUUCUCCCAAGUUCACUGAACAUCUUUAUGACCAUUACCUUGAACUCUUUAUCGGAUAGGUUGCUUAUUUCCACUUCACUUCGGUCUUCUUCUGGGGUUUUGUCUUGUUUCUUUGUUUGGAACAUAUUCCUCUGUCUCCUCAUUUUGCCUAAUUCUCUGGGUUUAUUUCUAUGUAUUAGGUAGGUCAGUUAUGUUUCCUAAUCUUGGAGAAGUGGCCUUAUAUAAGAGAUGUCCUUUGGGACCCCGCAGCACAUUCCUCCUGGUCACCAGAGCUGUAUGCUCUAGGAGUGCUCACUGUGUGGGCUGCAUGGACCCUUCUACUGUGGUAGGGCCAACUGCUGAGAGUACACUAGUAGGCAGAGGUGACCCCUGGCCUGGUUGGCUGCCAGGCCCGUCCUUGUGUGGUGGUUGUCGGGCUGCUAAUGGGGAGGACUGGGUCCCAGAGCAGCUGGCUGCAUGACCUGGGGGUUCCCAGGGCUGGUGCUAGCCUGCUAGUGGGUGGGUAAACCCCCAGUGCUAAUAGGCUAGAGGGAGAACUUCUAAAUGGUGCUUCUAAGCACCAGUGUCCUCAUGGUAGAACAAGCUCCCAUAAAUGGGCUGCUGCCAGUGUUUGCAUCCCCAGGGGAAGUCCCAGUUGCCUCCUGCUUCUCCAGCAGUCUCUCCAAGAUCAGCAAGUGGGUCUGACCCACUUUGAAAUUACUGCCUCUCUGCUGAGACUCAGAGUGUGAGAUUUUACACACACCCUUUAAGAGCAGAGCCUCUGUUUCCUAGAGCCCUCCGACUCUGUUCUGGGGCCUCCUCUUCUCAUGCAUGACCCCUCAGCUGGGGAGCCAGAUGUGGGUCUCAUACCCCUCACUCGUUGGGAUGAACCUCUGCAAUUGUGAUUAUCCUCCUGUUUGUGGCUCACCUACCCAGGGGUACGGGUCUUGACUAUACUGCAUCUUUGCCCUUCCUACUAGACUUGUUGUGGUUCCUUCUUUAUAUCUUUCGUAGUAGAAAAUCUUUUCUGCUAGUCUUCAGGUCGUUCUUACAGAUAGUUGCUUUAUAAAUAGUUGUCAUUUUGGUGUGCCUGUGGGAGGACGUGAGCUCAGAGUGAGCCAUCUUGGCCAAUGCUCCUCUCCUCAGCAAAACCAUGAGAGACCUGAGCCAGGACUACCUAGCCAAACUACUCCCAGAUUCUUGACAUACAGAAACUAUGACAUAAUAAAUAUUCAUUGUUUUUAACGGUAAAGUUUUGGAGUAAUUUGUUGUAUAGCUAUAGAUAAUUAAUACAUACGGCCACCCCUUAGUUCAAUGGGGCAGAAUAUAUAAUCCUCAUGCAGAGAGAGGUAUAGUAAGGAGAGAAAUUGGAAUAUUUGGUGAGCAGUAAUAUCUAUAACAGUAGGUAAAAAAUAUAUAUAUAUAUACAUUUUUUUUUUUCUUUUGCGGUACACGGGCCUCUCACCGCUGUGGCCUCUCCCAUUGCGGAGCACAGGCUCCGGAUGCACAGGCUCAGCGGCCAUGGCUCACUGGCCCAGCCUCUCCGCAGCAUGUGGGAUCCUCCCAGACCGGGGCACGAACCCGUGUGCCCUGCAUCGGCAGGCGGACUCCCAACAACUGCUCCACCAGGGAAGCCCUAAAAUAUAUAUUUUAAUUUAAUUAAUUAAUUUAUUUAUUUUUGGCUGUGUUGGUCCUUCAUUUCUGUACAUGGGCUUUCUCUAGUUGUGGUGAGUGGGGGCUACUCUUUGUUGCAGUGUACACAACAUCAUUGCGGUGGCUUCUCUUGUUGUGGAGCACAGGCUCUAGGUGCACAGGCUUCAGUAGUUGCAGCACGCAGGCUCUAGAGUGCAGGCUCAGUAGUUGUGGCACACGGGCUUAGUUGCUCCGUGGCAUGUGGGAUCUUCCUGGACCACUGAUCGAACCCGUGUCCCCUGCAUUGGCAGGUGGAUUCUCAACCACUGUGCCACCAGGGAAGCCCCUAGCUAAAAUAUUUAAAUCUAGUCCUCUACCUUUUCAUUAGACAAAUAUCUAAAGCAAGGAAUAAAUCAUAUAACCUCUGUACAUUUACUCCCUUUUCCCUAUCCUGUCGUCCAGGAAGUUCCAUAAUCAGCAAGUAAGGAGGUGUUUAAGUCUGGGUUCUGAUACCCCCUUUCUAAUCCCUACCCCCUUCUAAUUCCUAGAAGUGUUGUCAGAUUCCAUUCUUUUCCCUGCUUUUGAUCCCUCCUUAGUCCCGAAUCAACCGGUUUUAUAUUCUGACUCUACUACUCAGUUUUACAAAGAAAGGAGAUUUCUUUUUCUAAGCUUUCCCCUCUUUUCCAAUUUAAGCCUGGAGUCCUUCAUUCUCACUUUCUGGAUAUUUCACUAAUACCUCUUUCCUUUCUCCUGCCCCAGUCCCAUCAUUCACAGAGAGACAGCUUGGAACAGAGCAUUGGCCAGUUUAUAGGCAUUAAAAACUCUCAUUCAACCCUAAGCAUGACGUUGGCUUUGUUCAAGUUUUUCAAAAUGGAAAUUUAUAUUGUUUUUCUGUUUAUAAAGGAAAUAAAGGCUCAUAAAAAAUGAAACAAUAGAGAAAUAAAAACUGAAAGUUCUCCAGAAUUUUUAUUAUGCAUAUACAAAUAAACACAUAUAUUUUUACACAACUGGCAUUGUAAAACACAUUCUCUUCUAUAACUUUUUCAGUUAAUAAAUUGUGGUCUUUUUUCUAUGUCAGUACUAACCGAUCUAUCUUAUGAUUAUUAAAACUGCACGAUAGGGACUUCCCUGGUGGCGCAGUGGUUGAGAGUCUGCCUGCUGAAGCAGGGGACAUGGGUUCGUGCCCCGGUCUGGGAAGAUCCCACAUGCCGCGGAGCAGCUGGGCCCAUGAGCCAUGGCCGUUGAGCCUGCGCGUCCAGAGCCUGUGCUCCGCAACGGGAGAGGCCACAACAGUGAGAGGCCCACAUACCGCAAAAAAAAAAACCCAAAAAACUGCGCAAUAAAGGGGGGCCAUAAAGUCUGGAAAAAUAGGGAAAUACACAUAAUUGAUUUAUUGAUAUGACAUUACAAUACAUAAUAUGUUCAAUGUUUUGUCGUUCAUUAACAAUGUGUAGUUCAAUGCUCUGUGCAAUAUUGCAAUGAACAUAGUAGAUAAAUACAGAAUUUCUAUCAACUCCUACACAUGCAUCUGAAAUGCAUUACCUCAGUUGAUUGUGGACUUGGUUUCACUGAAUAAGCCUGUUCCUUUGGUGUACACCAGAAGUAACCAAGGGGGUAAGUAUCUAUCUGAUUUUUUUUAACAUCUUUAUUGGAGUAUAUUUGCUUUACAAUGGUGUGUUAGUUUCUGUUUUAUAACAAAGUGGAUUAGUUAUACAUAUACAUAUGUUCCCACAUCUCUUCCCUCUGCGUCUCCCUCGCUCCCACCCCGCUAGGUGGUCACAAAGCACCGAGCUGAUCUCCCUGUGCUAUACAGCUGCUUCCCACUAGCUAUCUAUUUUACGUUUGGUAGUGUAUAUAUGUCCAUGCCACUCUCUCACUUUGUCACAGCUUACCCUUCCCCCUCCCCAUAUCCUCAAGUCCAUUCUCUAGUAGGUCUGUGUCUUUAUUCCCGUCUUGCCCCUAGGUUCUUCAUGACCUUUUUUUUUUUCUUAGAUUCCAUAUAUAUGUGUUAGCAUAUGGUAUUUGUUUUUCUUCUAUCUGAUUUUUAAUAAACUUAUGCUUCCAGACUCUGUGGCCACUCUAUAUACCACUGUGUGGAUAUCCUGUAAUUUAUUUAACCAGUCCUCUUCUAAUGGGACAUUUAAUGUCAAAAUGGAUGACAUUAGAAAUUUGAUGUUAUUGCCAAACUGCCUUCCACAGAAUAAAAUCAGCUUAUGUUGCCACUAACAUUUGAAUCAGCUUAUAUGACCACCUACAGUACAUGAGACUGACUCUUCCCCCACAAAUUCACCAACACAGGUAUCACUAAUCAUUUAAAAUUUUGCCAGUAUGAUUCCUAUUAUUGUUUUAAUUUGAAUUUAUAUAGGGAAGUCGCUGGAGGUCCAGUGGUUAGGACUCCGUGCGGCAUAGUCAAAAAAAAAUUGAAUUUAUUUAAUUAUCAGUGAGGUUGAGAGUAUAUAUUUCAGUGGUUUUAGUAUGUUUGUUAUGUGAUAUAACAUGUCUGGUCGUUUUUGUUUUUGGUGGUUUUUAUUAUAAAAUAAAACAGAUACAGAAAAACACACUCACACACAGAGCUUAGCGAAUUAUUACAAAGUGCACUCCUUUUUAACCAGUCCAGAAAGAUGUGAACUUUCAAAGAUGCAAACGUGUGUUCACAUGUCCAAUCAUGUAAGUUAGUUCAUGUGUCUGGCAUACAUUGUCACAUGCAUGCAUCCUCUACAAGUGCUUAUGCUUUUGUGUACUUUACUGUACAGUACUGUAUAGAUAUAGUACAGCAUCUUUAUUUCAAGCCCAGGAUGUCCGGAAGCAAGCAUAAAAGCAGCGGUGACGUAGCUGGUACUGCUAAGAAGCGCCAAGUGAUAACGACGGAAACAAAAGUGAAAAUAACUGAGAGAGUGCAGCGAGGCGAAAAGAUGGUAGACGUCGCCUGUUCUUAUAAUAUGAAUCGUUCAACCACUGGUGCAAUUCUAAAGAACAAGGACAAGACCAUGAAAUAUGUGAAGUCUGCUGUGCCAGUGAUGUUGACGGUAAUACCGAAGAAGCGUGGAAAAGUGAUGGAGGAGAUGGAGAAACUUCUCAGUCUGUGGAUGCAGGAUCGGCAUCAGCAUCGAGUCCCGGCUCAGCUUAAUGCUGAUUCAAGAGAAAGCUAAAAGCCUUUAUGAAGACUUGAAGAAGAAACACAGUGAAGAAUCAGAGGGUGCAUCUUUUAAUGCCAGCCAUGGCUGGUUUCAUCGUUUCAAGGCUAGAGCCAACCUUCACAAGGUAAAAGUAAGUGGUGAGGCAGCGAGUGCAGAUACGGUAGCUGCCCAGGAAUUUCCUGAAACACUUUGAGAAAUUAUUGAUGAAGGUGCGUACUUAACCAAGCAGGCUUUUAAUGUGCACGAGACAGGACUGUAUAGGAAGAGUAUGCCAGACCGAAGUUACAUCAGUAAGGAGGAAAAGUUGAUGCCAGGCUAUAAAGCAGCAAAGGAUAGGCUAACUCUGUUGUUUCGUGGCAAUGCUCCCAGCAAUAUGAAGCUGAAGCCACUCUUAGUUUAUCAUUCAGAGACCCAAGAAUCCUUAAAAUCAUAGCCAAGGGCUCUUUUCCUGUUGUGUGGAAGAGUAACCCCAAAGCCUGGGUAACACAGGCCAUUUUCCAGGACUGGUUUUUCUACCACUUUAUCCCGGAGGUAGAGAAAUAUUGCUUGGAGGAGGAUGUCCCAUUCAACAUUCUUUUGCUGCUCCACAAUGCUCCAGGCCACUCCCCAUUCAUGGAGGACUUUCAUCCCAGUGUCAAAAUAGUGCAUCUGCCGCCGAAUACUACAUCACUCAUCCAACCUAUGCACCAGGGAGUUACAGCGACUUUCAAGAAAUAUUAUUUAUGUCAUACUUUUCGUCAGGAAGUAAAGGCAAGUGACAAAUCAGGAACAACCUUGCAAACAUUUUGGAAGGACUAUAACAUCUACAAGGCCAUAAAAAACAUUGACUUUGCUUGGCACGAGGUUACAGCCAUCACCAUGAAUGGGGUUUGGAAGAACUUUUGCCUGCGAUUGGUUCACAAUUUUUGUGGAUUUGAGAAGGUGGAUGAGGAGCUGAAAGAGGUCUUCAGCAACGUAGUGACCCUCAGAGAGAAGCUGGAGCUAGAUCUGCAAGAGGAUGACUUCAUUGAAUUCCUUGCCAUGCAACAUGAGGAGCUUACUAAUGAAGACCUGAUGGAGUUGGAGGCCCAGAAAAAGGACAAAGAGA